AGCAAUCAGCCAUUCAGCAGAAGAAUGUAAUCGAUCAUCGGCUGGGCCCAAACCUUUCAUGGUCCUUACAUCCUUGGGUUACAAUGGCCCAAACCUUAGCCCCACGGGCUUGAGAUUGAACAAGGACUUUAAGUUUGAACAGAAACUUGAACCUGAACCAGAUUUUCAGAAAAUGGAGAAAAUGGCCAAGCGAGGGGUGUGCAUUUGCUGGAUUCCAUGAAAAAGAGA
rnacentral:misc_RNA from 1 species